UUCGGAAGCACUUGGCGCUACCCCUGUUCCAGGUGCUGCUACUUUGGCUGAAAAGCUGAACCACCAAGGUAUUAAUACGGUAUCUUUGUCACAAAUUAAAUAAGAGUGAUGUACGAGCUUUGAGAGUUGUUUUCAGCCUCACAGGUGUAAAGGAAGGCUUAAGAGGCCAUGUUGUUGUGGAGAUGAGUAUUGCUAAGAGUAGGAGUUAAAGUGUCUCAUUGUCCUG